GUAAAGGCGGAUCAGUACAACCCUAAGCCGGAUAAAACAUGAAGUGGAUCGCUAUCUUGCUGCUUUCCGCGAGUUUAAUUUCCUACUCGAAGGCGGUACCAUGCAACUGUCCGUAUCCGUAUCCGAACUGCCCUCCGGUUACUUGCCCAAACAAAGAGACUCCUGUCUUCAACUCUGUUUGUCCAUGCUGCCCAGUUUGUCCAGCACUGAAAAGACAACAAUGUGAAGGGGAUUGCGGUUUACCGUGUGCGAGGAAUCUAGAAUGUGACCAAUUUCGCAUCCAGUUUGGAUAUAAAUGCGGGAUUUGCAAGCCGAUUCUGCCCCAAGAAAAGCCCAGGAAUAAAAAGUUCAAGAAGCCGGAUGGGCCGCGAAGAUAGAUACGGUGGCUGGUUUGGAUUCAGCGGAACCUGUAAGUACCACGACGGAAAGAAAUAAAGGAUUUAACACGUAUAUGAUGAGAAAACAGGAAAAGGAUGGCAAAAUUCAUUUUAUCUUGUUACCUUAAUAAGUAUUUUCGUGAAAAUUUUGACAAUAA